AGUUUCCACCUCCACCUCCGAGAAAGUUUACAUUAUCACACUUGCACUACGUCAUCAACCAGUAACAAGUCAAUUAUAUCUUCUUUUUUUUUUAAACAAAAAGGGUAAAAAAAAGAGGGUUAAAUGUCCCUGGAAACAUAGUAUCACACUGGCACUGCCACUACAACAGAAUUAGGUUAUAGGGACACAUGUUUGGGACACUUUUGAAUAAGUGUCUCAUUUAUGCUAAAACUUAAAAACACAUCUACUAAUGCCUAAAUAUAAAGCCCAAUCCAACUAAAAAUAAAAGAUUACUCUACUCAACCUACCACACUCAGUCCAUUUGGCCCGAUUACAAACGGAAAAGAAAAAAAAAAAGAAAAAUCAAUUAUCAUCCUUUCUUCUCUCUUCACUCAAUCCACUGAAAUUCUAGACGAAGAGCCUUUACUGUCGUCCUCCUCCGCCACCGCAACCAACGAGAUAGAGUUUCGACGGUUGCUAAAUGCUUAAAUAAGUGUUGAUAAAUUAGCAGCACUCUUUUAGGUUAUAGCGACACUCUGUAACUGUCACUAUAUAUCUAGCGACCCCACAUAUAGCAACACUUUUUAAAAGUGUCGGUAAUUUUAGCUAGCAGCACUUUUUUGAUAUGUACCUACAUUUAAAAGUGUCGCUAUAGACCGUUUUUGUUGUAGUGUACGGCUUCAUUUGGGAUUGUGAGAAAGAUUGCAUUACUUGCGGUACUACGGCUUCGUUUGGGAUUGUGAGAAAGAUUACAUUACUUGCGGUGAGAAAGUGUAAUAAAAAAAUAUCUUGUUUGUUUCCGUACGUUAUAUUACAUUACAUAUACGAUAUAUUUUUGUGGGGUCCCACUGGAGAACGUUACUUGCGAUGAGAAAGUGUGAUGAAAAAAUAUCUUGUUUGUUUCCGUACAUUAUAUUACGUUCCACAUAUCACAAUUAGUCGGCUACGAUAUAUUUUUUAUGUGGUUUUAUCGGAGAACGCAGAAGCAUACCCUUAUAUGCUUUUAUCCCAACUUCAUUUUAUCUAAUAGCGUUAGAUAGACCUCAAUACUAAACUAAGCCUACAUCAUCGAUCAGUAACAAGUCAAUCAUAUCUCUAUUCUUAAAAAAAAGGGUUAAAUAUCUCUAUUCUUAAAAACAAGGGUUAAAUGCAUUCAUGUCCCUGCAAACAUAAUGAAUUACAAAUAUAUCCCUAUAAAGUUCAACUUUUAUAUAUUGUUCCUGUAAAAAUUCUAAUAUUUUUAAAUAUGUUCCUUUGGUUUGUUAUCGUUAUAGAACUGUUUAUAUUUUAAGUGAAAUAUCAAUUUUGCUAUCACAAAAAAUGUCUCUCCAAAAAUCGCAACAAAAAUGUUAAGUUAUCUUAUAAAUUAAUUAGAGUAAGCAUUUAACCUACGGUUACUAACGGAAUCUAACGGUAGAAACAUAUUUAAAAAUAUUAGAAUUUUUAUAAAGACAACAUAUGAAAGUUGAACUUUGUAGAGAUGUAUUUAUAAUUUAUUAUAUUUGUAGCGGUUUGUAUAAAAUUAACCCAAAGAAAAGUAUAGUAAAAAUAUUUUUCUAUUAACUAUAAGG
rnacentral:lncRNA from 1 species